rnacentral:rRNA from 1 species
UACGUAGGGUGCAAGCGUUGUCCGGAAUUAUUGGGCGUAAAGAGCUCGUAGGCGGUUUGUCGCGUCUGCUGUGAAAACUCGGGGCUCAACUCCGAGCUUGCAGUGGGUACGGGCAGACUAGAGUGCGGUAGGGGAGACUGGAAUUCCUGGUGUAGCGGUGGAAUGCGCAGAUAUCAGGAGGAACACCGGUGGCGAAGGCGGGUCUCUGGGCCGUAACUGGACGCUGAGGAGCGAAAGCUGGGGAGCGAACAGG